rnacentral:rRNA from 1 species
GACGAACGCUGGCGGCGUGCUUAACACAUGCAAGUCGAACGAUGAAGCCGGAGCUUGCUCUGGUGAAUUAGUGGCGAACGGGUGAGUAACACGUGAGUAACCUGCCCUUGACUCUGGGAUAACAGCUAGAAAUGGUAGCUAAUACCGGAUACGACCCUCGGAGGCAUCUCCAGGGGGUGGAAAGAAUUUCGGUCAAGGAUGGACUCGCGGCCUAUCAGCUAGUUGGUGAGGUAACGGCUCACCAAGGCGACGACGGGUAGCCGGCCUGAGAGGGUGAACGGCCACACUGGGACUGAGACACGGCCCAGACUCCUACGGGAGGCAGCAGUGGGGAAUAUUGCUCAAUGGGCGCAAGCCUGAUGCAGCAACGCCGCGUGAGGGAUGACGGCCUUCGGGUUGUAAAGCUCUUUUGUCAGGGAAGAAACAGCAGCUCUAACACAGUUUGCGAAUGACGGUACCUGAAGAAUAAGCACCGGCUAAC